rnacentral:rRNA from 1 species
GAUGAACGCUAGCGGCAGGCUUAACACAUGCAAGUCGAGGGGUAACGUGAGUGCUUGCACUUGACGACGACCGGCGAACGGGUGCGUAACGCGUAUAGAAUCUGCCUUGUACAGGAGGAUAGCCCAGAGAAAUUUGGAUUAAUACUCCAUAAUGUUAUGUAGUGGCAUCAUUAUUUAAUUAAAGAUUUAUUGGUACAAGAUGACUAUGCGUCCUAUUAGUUAGAUGGUAAGGUAACGGCUUACCAUGGCAUCGAUAGGUAGGGGGUCUGAGAGGAUUAUCCCCCACACUGGUACUGAGACACGGACCAGACUCCUACGGGAGGCAGCAGUGAGGAAUAUUGGACAAUGGGCGAGAGCCUGAUCCAGCCAUGCCGCGUGCAGGAAGACUGCCCUAUGGGUUGUAAACUGCUUUUAUACAGGAAGAAACCUACUUACGUGUAAGUAGCUGACGGUACUGUAAGAAUAAGCACCGGCUAACUCCGUGCCAGCAGCCGCGGUAAUACGGAGGGUGCAAGCGUUAUCCGGAAUCAUUGGGUUUAAAGGGUCCGCAGGCGGUCAAUUAAGUCAGAGGUGAAAUCUCACAGCUUAACUGUGAAACUGCCUUUGAUACUGGUUGACUUGAGUCAUAUGGAAGUAGAUAGAAUAAGUAGUGUAGCGGUGAAAUGCAUAGAUAUUACUUAGAAUACCGAUUGCGAAGGCAGUCUACUACGUAUGUACUGACGCUCAUGGACGAAAGCGUGGGGAGCGAACAGG